UACGUAGGGUGCGAGCGUUGUCCGGAAUUACUGGGCGUAAAGAGCUCGUAGGUGGUUUGUCGCGUUGUCCGUGAAAACUCACAACUCAAUUGUGGGCGUGCGGGCGAUACGGGCAGACUAGAGGCAGGUAGGGGAGAACGGAAUUCCCGGUGUAGCGGUGAAAUGCGCAGAUAUCGGGAGGAACACCGGUGGCGAAGGCGGCCAGCUGGGAUGCACCUGACACUGAGGCGCGAAGGCGUGGGGAGCGAACGGG
rnacentral:rRNA from 1 species